rnacentral:rRNA from 1 species
GACUGAGACACGCCCCAGACUCCUACGGGAGGCAGCAGUGAGGAAUAUUGCGCAAUGGGGGAAACCCUGACCCAGCAACGCCGCGUGAGGGAUGACGUUUUUCGGAUUGUAAACCUCUGUCCUCUGUGAAGAUAGUGACGGUACCAGAGGAGGAAGCUCCGGCUAACUACGUGCCAGCAGCCGCGGUAAUACGUAGGGAGCAAGCGUUGUCCGGAUUUACUGGGUGUAAAGGGUGCGUAGGCGGAUUGGCAAGUCAGAAGUGAAAUCCAUGGGCUUAACCCAUGAACUGCUUUUGAAACUGUUAGUCUUGAGUGAAGUAGAGGUAGGCGGAAUUCCCGGUGUAGCGGUGAAAUGCGUAGAGAUCGGGAGGAACACCAGUGGCGAAGGCGGCCUACUGGGCUUUAACUGACGCUGAGGCUCGAAAGUGUGGGUAGCAAACAAGAUUAGAUACCGUGGUAGUCCACGCUGUAAACGAUGAUUACUAGGUGUGGGGGGUCUAACCCCCUCCGUGCCGGAGAUAACACAAUAAGUAAUCCACCUGGGGAGUACGACCGCAAGGUUGAAACUCAAAGGAAUUGACGGGGGCCCGCACAAGCAGUGGAGUAUGUGGUUUAAUUCGACGCAACGCGAAGAACCUUACCAGGUCUUGACAUCCAACUAACGAAGCAGAGAUGCCUUAGGUGCCCUUCGGGGAAAGUUGAGACAGGUGGUGCAUGGUUGUCGUCAGCUCGUGUCGUGAGAUGUUGGGUUAAGUCCCGCAACGAGCGCAACCCUUGUGAUUAGUUGCUACGCAAGAGCACUCUAAUCAGACUGCCGUUGACAAAACGGAGGAAGGUGGGGACGACGUCAAAUCAUCAUGCCCUUUAUGACCAGGGCUACACACGUACUACAAUGGUCGUUAACAAAGGGAAGCAAUACCGCGAGGUGGAGCAAAACCCUAAAAACGGUCUCAGUUCAGAUUGUAGGCUGCAACUCGCCUACAUGAAGUAGGAAUUGCUAGUAAUCGCGGAUCAGCAUGCCGCGGUGAAUACGUUCCCGGCCCUUGCACU